GCAAUGGCCUCCUUAGAGGCCACAAAAUCUUUAGAAUAAAGCAAAG
rfam:Tupaia chinensis contig215409, whole genome shotgun sequence.